UACGAAGGGGGCGAGCGUUGUUCGGAUUUACUGGGCGUAAAGGGCGCGCAGGCGGCCGCAUUUGUCAGGCGUGAAAGCCCCGGGCUUAACCUGGGAACUGCGUUUGAUACGGUGUGGCUAGAGUUCGGGAGAGGAGAGUGGAAUUCCCAGUGUAGAGGUGAAAUUCGUAGAUAUUCGCAAGAACACCAGUGGCGAAGGCGGCUCACUGGCCCGUUACUGACGCUGAGGCACGAAAGCGUGGGGAGCAAACAGG
rnacentral:rRNA from 1 species